rnacentral:rRNA from 1 species
AAACCCGGUGAUCUAGCCAUGGGCAGGUUGAAGGUUGGGUAACACUAACUGGAGGACCGAACCGACUAAUGUUGAAAAAUUAGCGGAUGACUUGUGGCUGGGGGUGAAAGGCCAAUCAAACCGGGAGAUAGCUGGUUCUCCCCGAAAGCUAUUUAGGUAGCGCCUCGUGAACUCAUCUUCGGGGGUAGAGCACUGUUUCGGCUAGGGGGUCAUCCCGACUUACCAAACCGAUGCAAACUCCGAAUACCGAAGAAUGUUAUCACGGGAGACACACGGCGGGUGCUAACGUCCGUCGUGAAGAGGGAAACAACCCAGACCGCCAGCUAAGGUCCCAAAGUCAUGGUUAAGUGGGAAACGAUGUGGGAAGGCACAGACAGCCAGGAUGUUGGCUUAGAAGCAGCCAUCAUUUAAAGAAAGCGUAAUAGCUCACUGGUCGAGUCGGCCUGCGCGGAAGAUGUAACGGGGCUAAACCAUGCACCGAAGCUGCGGCAGCGAACGUAUCACUUAAAACGCUUAACGUGACGGCAAAGCCGGCAUGUUCAAGCCACACUAAACGUUGAGUUGGCCGAUGUGCUGACAAACGAACAGGCGUUUUAAGGAUACGUUCGUUGGGUAGGGGAGCGUUCUGUAAGCCGUUGAAGGUGGCCUGUGAGGGUUGCUGGAG